UACGAAGGUGGCAAGCGUUACUCGGAAUUACUAGGCGUAAAGGGCAGGUAGGUGGUUUGGUUAGUCUGUUGUGAAAGCUCCUUGCUUAACGGGGAGAGGUCAACAGAUACUGCCAGACUUGAGUAUGGGAGAGGGUACUGGAAUUCCCGGUGUAGCGGUGAAAUGCGCAGAGAUCGGGAGGAACACCAAUGGCGAAAGCAGGUACCUGGACCAUUACUGACACUCAGCUGCGAAAGCUAGGGGAGCAAACAGG
rnacentral:rRNA from 1 species